AGGGUCGUGUGAAUGAUAUUCACCACUGAACUGAACGCCACGCGAAUCGGCUUAGUGCUAUUGCUAGUGAGUGCCAUGGAUACCUUUCUACUCCACACUGCGUCAUCAACAUCAAUGGCGAAACGACCAUGUCCCUCGCAAAACCCUAGGGUUCAGAUCCUUAACGAGGUGGAGCGUCUCCUCGACGCGUUCCUCUCCCUCUCCGACCUCCCUUCUUCCUCCCUCGAUCUCUCCUUCGAGAGGCUUCUCCAAUCUGUCCCCUCCGACUCCGAUCUCAUCGAUCGCGCCCUCAAAAUGGGUUCUCUCCUUCUCGACGCCGCCAAACACUCCUCUCGAAAACGUGCUUCCCUCCACAAUUCUCUUGCCUGGCCUCUCCCUCCCGACCUCACCAUCAAGGUGUUCUCCAUGCUUGAUACCCAGAGCCUGUGCUAUGCGUCAGCUACUUGUUCGUUGUUUAGCAAAUGUGCUAAAGAUCCUCUGUGCUAUGAAAAUCUUGAUUUGACAACACUUGUUCCCAAGGUUAACAAUGCAGUAGUUGCCACAAUGAUUCAGCGGGCUGGAAAGGCACUACGGUCUCUUAAGCUUGGUGUUGUCCCUGGUGCUGCUACUCCUCCUGGAUCUUGUCAACCGUAUGUUUGUACCAUCAGAAAUGCUAUUGUCGAAGUAUCCAACUUUUCAUGGAAUGAUAAGAGAUCUCGACAAGGGAGAGAGUCAUCGAUUCUUACAAGAUGCUGUUUAAGCCCUUUAAGUGGGGAUGGUGGUGUCCCAGGGAAGCUUUUGAGAAAGUUGCACUUGUACAAUAUAGAGAGAAUGGAUAAUGCAUCCCUUAGUGGGGCAUUGUCGGCAUGCCCUUCUCUCCUUGAUCUGGAAAUUGUUGGGCUCCAUGUUGAACUGAGGCAAACAUUAGUGUCAGUAAGUGCAAACUGUCGCAUGAUUGAUCGUUUGUUUUUUGAGUCUUCUAAAACAGGUAGAGAUGACAGCUUGAAAGCACAAACCUGUUCUGAGCUAGUAAGCAAUUGUCCUCAUCUAACUUCUUUAUCCCUUAGAGGGUUUAAGCUACACGAUUGUAAAGUCCGCAUAUUGGUUAAGGGAUUUCGGAAACUCAAGUAUGUUGACUUUUCAACAUCCUAUUCAAUCACUGGAAAUUUCUUAAGAAACCUUGGUAGCUGCAAUGGUGGGAAUUUACUGGAGGUCUUAAUUUUAAGGGAUUGCAUGCAUCUCAAAGAGAUGGAAGUUGCUAAGUUGUUGACAGCAAUUCUUACAGGAGAUUUCAAAUCGCUUGUACAUCUUGACAUAUCCAACAGGGAAGGCUUAGCAUCUGAGGCUGACUGGUAUCACAGAUGCUACAACUCUAGUAUUAUGCCUAUCAAGCAGGUUUUGGAAUCAAGGCCUGAUAUGCGUUUGGUGGCUGAAUAUCCAUCAGAAGGAAGUUACAUUGAGACAUUCGAUGCUGAUAUGAAUAGUGAAAUAAGUUUGCCAUCGCAAUCCAGCGGCCACACAUCACUUUUUAUGAGUACAUCUGAAAGCAGCUACAACAGUGAUCAGGGCAGUGGGAAUGAAGAUAGUCAAGAUGCCAACUAUGUGAUUUAUGAGGAAAGCUCAGAUGAGAUUGACUAUCUGGUCCUGUAGGGAUUCCCCGUUGUAUGGCAUCAAUUGAAAAGGACAACAAUGUAGUGAACUCGGGGAGCGGUAGAGGAAGAAGGAUACGGCAGGAUGGAUGUCAACUAUUAACCCUGGACUUCCUUAACUUUCCAUUUUAUCCUUCUCUUUAUUGAAGUUCUUCACUGUGGAGUUCUCAAUCUGGGGGACAAUUGGAGGUCGGUUGAAAUUUUGAAGAUGGCCUUUGUUUCCAUAUUUGCGGAAUUGUAAAUAUACUGCUGCUCUACCCCGUUCUCUCCCCAAAAUUUGGAGGUUAUUUUCCCUCGGCAUCAGUCCAUAUAAUAAUGCUGGAAUUUAUUUUUGGUUCUAAUGUAAAAGAGAUGUUCAAUUAUGUAUUUUGUCCCCUUGGAUGCCGUCUGGCUAAUUCACAAAUAAAAUAUAAAUAAACAAUUCUGUGGAUACUUCUGUUAGUAAAAGGAAUUAGGCAUGUCAUGGAUCCGUGCCAUGAGUGAACAUGGACCGUUGAUCAAACCUAUUCCUACUAGUGGGAGACCACAUCCUUGCAAAUGCCAAAUAUAGAUCCCACUUAUUGGAUCAUUUCGUGUGGGUAUUUAUAUUUAUAAUACACGGUUAUGGAAUUC